CCAGAGAACUUUCCAGAGAUGGAUUGGUGCCUUCGGGAACUCUGAGACAGGUGCUGCAUGGCUGUCGUCAGCUCGUGUUGUGAAAUGUUGGGUUAAGUCCCGCAACGAGCGCAACCCUUAUCCUUUGUUGCCAGCGGUUAGGCCGGGAACUCAAAGGAGACUGCCAGUGAUAAACUGGAGGAAGGUGGGGAUGACGUCAAGUCAUCAUGGCCCUUACGAGUAGGGCUACACACGUGCUACAAUGGCGCAUACAAAGAGAAGCGACCUCGCGAGAGCAAGCGGACCUCAUAAAGUGCGUCGUAGUCCGGAUUGGAGUCUGCAACUCGACUCCAUGAAGUCGGAAUCGCUAGUAAUCGUGGAUCAGAAUGCCACGGUGAAUACGUUCCCGGGCCUUGUACACACCGCCCGUCACACCAUGGGAGUGGGUUGACAAAAGAAGUAGGUAGCUUAACCUUCGGGAGGGCGCUUACCACUUUGUGAUUCAUGACUGGGGUGAAGUCGUAACAAGGUAAGCGUAGUGCU
rnacentral:rRNA from 1 species